CAAAUUUCUGCCCUAUCAAGUUUCGAUGGUAGGAUAGAGGCCUACCAUGCUUUUUACGGGUAACGGCGAAUUAGGGUUCGAUUCCGGAGAAGGGAGCCUGAGAAACGGCUACCACAUCUAAGGAAGGCAGCAGGCGCGCAAAUUACCCAAUCCUGAUUCAGGGAGGUAGUGACAAUAAAUAACAAUCCAGGACUUCGGUCUUGGAAUUGGAAUGAGAACAAUUUAAAUCUCUUAUCGAGGAACAAUUGGAGGGCAAGUCUGGUGCCAGAGCCGGGGUAAUUCCAGCUCCAAAUAGCGUAUAUUAAAGUUGUUGCAGUUAAAAAGCUCGUAGUUGGACCUUG
rnacentral:rRNA from 1 species